rnacentral:rRNA from 1 species
AUACGUAGGGGGCAAGCGUUAUCCGGAUUUACUGGGUGUAAAGGGAGCGUAGACGGUUCUGCAAGUCUGGAGUGAAAGCCCGGGGCUCAACCCCGGGACUGCUUUGGAAACUGUGGAACUAGAGUGCAGGAGAGGUAAGUGGAAUUCCUAGUGUAGCGGUGAAAUGCGUAGAUAUUAGGAGGAACACCAGUGGCGAAGGCGGCUUACUGGACUGUGUCUGACACUGAGGCGCGAAAGCCA